rnacentral:rRNA from 1 species
UACGUAGGUGGCAAGCGUUGUCCGGAUUUACUGGGUGUAAAGGGCGUGUAGCCGGGUUGACAAGUCAGAUGUGAAAUCCUGCGGCUUAACCGCAGAACUGCAUUUGAAACUGUUGAUCUUGAGUACUGGAGAGGCAGACGGAAUUCCUAGUGUAGCGGUGAAAUGCGUAGAUAUUAGGAGGAACACCAGUGGCGAAGGCGACUUUCUGGACAGUAACUGACGUUGAGGCACGAAAGUGUGGGGAGCAAACAGG